GGGGAGAGGAAGAGAGAGGAAAAAGAGAGGGAGCGAGAAGAGAGAAGGAAGAGUGGCGCGGGGAGAGCGCCCCCGCCCCUGCCCGGGUCGGGUUGGAUGGUGAAACAGUAAACCCGCGCACGGAGGGUCGCCGGGAAAGUGGACAUUACCGCUUUAAUUAACUUCGAGAUGCUCCGGCGGCGGGACCUGGCGUAGCCGUGACGCGCCCCCAUAAAUCUGCCCGGCCCGGGGCUGCUCGGAGAACUCGUACAGUAGCGGCGUCAGACCCGACGCGCGCCUCCCAGUCCGGAGCCCAUUUGCAUAAUUGGAUCUUUUUUUUUUUUUCUUUCUUUCUUUCCCCCACCCCCCUCAUUCUCCCUCCCUGAAACUUGUUUGAAAACCCAAGCGAAAACCGCGACGACCUGCACGCUCACAAGCGAGUGCCAAGGAACUGGGACGGCCCUCUGGCAAUCUGUCAGUGCCUGGAUCAGCUGCAUCCUUUCUGGGGUAUUUUCUCACCAGACUGACAGUCCUUAAGACAAGUAUGCAGUUAAGCUGCUAAGGUAAGUCUUCCGAUAUUAGAACUCUUUGCCCUGGACACACAUCAUUUCCUCCUGUUUGGUCGUGUUGACCUAACACAAAUCCCAACCAAAGAGGCCUGCUCUCCCCCCACUCCCCUUGGCCAGGGGCUUCCUCCCAGCCUCCCCUCCACCCAGGUAGGGUUCCCCCUCCCUGCUCAGAGCUCUGGGUGAAGGGGUGGCCGGGCAGGGGCGGGACCUUUUGCUAUCGGGGGAGGCAUUCCUUUGUGGUUCCGGUGUGUUUGGGGGCUGAGUGGGGAGGGGAAACAAAGGAAUCACGAAAAAAAAAAAAACAACACCCCAAAAAACACAACAACGUUAUUUUCCUCUCUGGGGCUUAAUUCCUUUCUCAAGUUUUCUUCUGGGAUAAAUAGGAGGCUUCAAUUCGGAAUCCUGAGGUGCUGCUAACAUAUUCUGGUUCCAAGAAAGUGCCGCUGUUAUUUUGAGUAGUUUUGAUACAACCAAAUCAAAGUGAAGAUUUGAAAUAGCUUUUCUGAAAGCCCAAGCUGAAGUCAUAAAUUAUUCUGCACCAUGAUUCUUUCUGAUAGUAAAACCAUACCUCUUUGCCUGACAUUGCUGAAAUGUGGAAAAGUGAAAGUUAAAAAUAAAAUGAAACAUUUAAAUCUUGGCUGUUGAGAACCUCAGAGAGACAUCAAGGCCAGUCGAUAAAGGCCCCUAUCAAUUAGGCUUCCCCAGUUAUCAUCAGAUCGGGUUUAUUAGCGAUCGCGCAGGUGCAGGGUUCCGGUAGGAAGACUGGGAGGGGCUGGGGAAAAUGCCGAGAAAUACCAUCCAAUGGAAAGCGGGGGUCUGGGGCGCCCAGGUGCGCCCCAUGGCAGGGACCAGGGCCACAGGGGUGCCACUGCCUCGUGUAUUCUUGUAGGAGGAUAUAUCUGCAGCCAAAAUGUUGGAAGUUUCCCCCCCCUUUCUUUGCCUUAGAAUAUGUUGAUUUCACACUGUCGUGAAUAUUUUCCAUCAGUGUCUUGGUGGGUGGAUUCCGUGUUAAGAAAAGGAGCCAUGUGCACCCGCAGUUGUGGCCAAGGGCGGGUGGGCCUGCAGGGGCUGGGGGACGUCUGAGCAUCCGGGCUCCUCUAGCGAUGGAGGCAGCCCCGGGGCUUGCCGGGCCUCCAGACUGAGCUGUUUGGCUAGUUCCCUCCUCAGCAUAACGCAGGCAGAGCAAUUUUUGGUUCCAUAGCUGUUUGGUUGGGAAAACAAGCCUGCGGUUGCCAGUAAGGUUUAGAAUUUGCCUGCCAGAUCAGGGAAUGUCUGUGAAGACUAUUUUCCCUCUUGGGAGGCAAAACACAGAUGGGGGAGUUAGGAGUCUUACAAUAUUUAGCUGCUAUAUUGAUGGUAGGGAUUCUGCCACGUGGAUGCUCACAGUUUCGAAAGGGCCAACUUGGUGUCUGAGCAUCGCUGCCCAGGGCCUCAGGUAGGGGAGGCGGGUGAGGCUGGCUUUCCCCGGGGAGCGAGCGCACCAGCUUGCUCUGGAAUGUUCCAGACUCUGUGCCACUUGAGCCCGGAGAGGAGGCACUGCAAGGAUGCUGCCGUUUCCCCUUGUCCCACAUGGGGAUGAGGAAGGAAGCGAAGGAUGAAUGGCCCCGCCUGACCCGACGGGGUGACCGAGGCCAGGAGCCGGAGGGACUUGGGCUUCUUCUGGCAAGGAGAUGUGCCCCUCCUGCCUGUGAUUCGUCAGACCCUGUGGAAUCGGCCGGGGCACCGGCCUCACCAGGUUUCCUGCCACGGAGGCGUGCAUCUAAAAAUGUUAAUCACUGGGCGGGCCCUGGACCUCAUAGACGAUAAAGAAAGAUAAUGCACUUGUUCUUGGGAUGGGCCAUGAGCAGGUAGGGAGCUUUUCUUGCGUGGAAAAUGUACAUCUUGGAAUAAUGUGCAGUCAUGGGAUCUGGAAGUAGGGUUAGAGCUUUAUAUCCAAGAGCAGAUUCUGUGCCUUGGAGACCAAGAGAGGGCAUUGUCCUUAGAAACAGGCAGGGAGCACGUGGGCAUCUCCUUCCCAGCCUCUUACUGGUUUUCCAGCCUCAGAACACAGGAUUCCCCGCCCUUAGAGCUGGACCCCUUUCCCAGGCAGCCUGGAAUUAUGAUGAUGAGACAUUCCUGGACUUCUGAAGGUACCUGGGGGAGGGGGGAGCUCUAGCUUCUGUUCCUCUCCACCAGUGCCCUCCCCAUCCUUUGAAAUGGACACCUGACUUUCUCAACGUCAAAUGCUACAGCACUGCAGCUUCGGAACAACCCAAGUACCAUUAUAUAGAAAUCCCAAGCCACCUGUCGGUAGCUGAGCCCCUCAUACACAUCAGAAAAUGACUUGAUGCCCUACCUCACCAGGGAUUUCCAGGGCCACCCCGACAAGGAUGGCAGCAGAGCCUGGAGGUGUGGCGGUCCAGCCCCCGACAGCUUUAUGCUUAGGGGAGACCCCAAGCUUGGUUGAGAGGCCCGGUGACUUUCUAGAAGGACUUGGCUCUCAGAAACCAUAGGAUCUUCAUCUGACAGACACGGAGUGCCCUCCCCCUGACCCCAGCCCCGGCCACCGCUGUCCCCCGGGGCACGUGCAGGACCCUGGACUCGGGGCGCUGUCCCAAGGCAGCCCCGUUGCCCUGGUGCAGACCUGGGAGGCAAUAGCCCUCCUCCAGGAAGUAAUGACCUUGGUUAUGUGGAGCAGGAGCGGUACUUUGGGAGCAUAGAAGAGGGCGCGAAUAAUUGUCAUUUCUGUGUGAUAAUGAUGAUAAGCCCUGCAUAUGUGUGGGGGGGUGCUUUGCAGCGGAUUUGCUCCCCACCAGGACAUCCCCAAGGCUCCUGGAGGUAAGGAUACCUGCACCUCCUUUGCAGCCGCAGAAUGAGUUAGGAAAGCAAGGUCCCAUGACUCUCCCUUUGCCUGAGCGAAAACUAAAAUCAGAGAUCCUUUGAACUCUCAAGGGAAAGUAGAGCGACCCAGGUUCUGGUCUAAGAGGUUCUGACGAUUAUCUUCGUCCUCAUCAAUCCCCUAGCAGGUAGAUAGAUGCUCUUAUGAGUUCCAUUUUCCAGCUGUGGAAACCGAGGUCAGAGAAGUCGAGUGGCUUCCCCCAGGUCGCACAGCUGGUGGAUGGUGAGGCCGAGGUGUGAACAGGUGCUUUUCCGACUUUGGGGCCUAAUUCCUUGGCCAUAGAACAGCCCUGGGUAUGGCCUUGGAUAAGACAGACAAGCUCCUGGCCCUCAGGGAGCUUAUACUGUGGGGCUAGGAAGCAGCAAACCAGACAGCCAUGGGUAAGACGAUGUCAGAAAGGGGUAAAUGCCGUAAGAAAAGGUGGGGGGUGGGGGGUGGGGAGGAGGGAUCUACCCUUGGGUUGUGGGGGGCGGCCCCCCCUGAGGAAGGCACAUGGGAAGUGAGAGGGCUGAAGGACCCGGAAGAGCCAGCUGGUGAACAGAGGAAGAGCAUUCCUGGCAGAGGAAAUAGCACAUGCAAAGGCCCUGUGGUGGGAAGAACCUGGCGAGGGUAGGUACAGAUUAUAGGCCCUGGAGGGGGAAGCAGAGCGGGCCGUGGGAGAGGGUUGAGGGCCUGGAUAGACUGGCCUUUGUAGACCUUGCUGAGCACUAUCACCUUUCUUUUAUGUUUAUGUUGCUUUUAACCAGAGGGUGUGGCUUGAGAAACCUACCUUUCCAGGUGUGGGAAUGCUCCUAGGAGCUGGGAUUCCGCACGUGGCUUGACCCAGCUCUGGGUGGGGUGUUUGCUGUGGCUUUAGUUUUCUACCAGUGGGAUGUUCUUGUGACUUGGCUAAAACUGGGAGUCAGGGAUUUCAGGGCCCUUGGGUACAGGAAAGGUGGCCAGUUGCAUGGGGGCCACGGCGAUAAAUGACAGUGCCCCAUGGCGGAACCCCCCAGCUGCAGGCUAGCUCAGGCAGAUUGCAGGUGGAAGCCUUCUGGGGCUUCCAUUCACCACCAGGAAGUGUUAACUCCAAACUCAUCACAAUUGCAUCUUUGUUAUGCUGAUUCGUGGGUCAGAGAAUAACAUGCAGAGUGAGUUUCAGAGUAACAGAUUUUUGGUGGUUAGAGUUUAGGCCUCUUUUCCUUUGGGCAGUAUGGUGGUUGUCAAGCAGAAUUUUCUUUAGGAAUUCUAGGUAAUUCCUAGACCUGUAGAACCCUAGGGCGAGCUGAAACUUCUGUGAUCAGAAUCACUCUUAUUUUGUAGGUGAAGAGACCGAGGCCCAGAGAGGGCAAGGGACUUGCUCAGGGUCACACAGCGAGCCAUUGGCAGAGCCAGUCUCCCCUGAGUACAACAGGCCAUCCCUCAGGCAGUUCCAGACAGCUCGGGGGCCCUCUUAGCUGAAUGAAGGCUUAGUCACCUCUGGAGCCCUCACAGCUCCCAGCGCAGUCCCUGGCACCCUGUGAGUGGCCAGGAAUCGUUCCCUUACGUAUUGAUUGACUCACCCUGACCUCCGCAUUUGGUAGUCAUUAGAAUUGGUUGCCCCUUGGUUUCAGCAAACUCACUAUCUAUCAAAUCUACAUUUCUUUC
rnacentral:lncRNA from 1 species